AGGGGCAACAGGGUAGCCUAGUGGUUAGAGUGGAGGGGCAACAGGGUAGCCUAGUGGUUAGAGCGUUGGACUAGUAACCGGAAGGUUGCGAGUUCAAACCCCCGAGCUGACAAGGUACAAAUCUGUCAUUCUGCCCCUGAACAGGCAGUUAACCCACUGUUCCUAGGCCGUCAUUGAAAAUAAGAAUUUGUUCUUAACUGACUUGCCUGGUAAAAUAAAAAUUUUAAAAAAUACUGUUGAUGUCAUGGAUUGGCAUUCUUUCCUCCAACUCCAUCACUAAAACAGUGAAAGGCUGACGGGCGUUGUUGUUGUUGUUGUUGUUUGAACGGCAGAUUUAACCCCGUUAAAGGGGCGAUUGUGGAUUUUGUCUGUGCCCACCCGGAUCUGUGUUUGUUUUGAUUUGUGUCCUUUCUUUAUGAGUUGUUAGGUAGAUUAUUAAGGGUGUUUUAUGAACCAAAAUGAGGCAUCAUUUGGCUCCAGUGUAAAAUGAAUUUGUUCCUCUGCAGUCGACUGUCAAUUUCUCAGCCCCGAGGUACAGUACAUUCCAGGGCUGUGUCUGUAGAUGAAAAGACUCCAGUUCACUAAAGAGGGCAAGUGGAGACAGGUUCCACAUGCCUACCCAGGAAGGUAUCAGUGGGACAAAUGACCUACAUUACCUCAUCUACCAGUGGUGGAUACUAAAACGUAUUUUUCUCUAAACGGGUGGAGUACGUCAGUGUAUAUUGGGCAGAAGGUCCCCAGUUUGUCUGGAUCAGAACGGGACCUACUGUGUUUUAACAGGGACAUUGUAAAGUCAACAUCUGGAGUCAAUAUCGGCCUAUUCACAACGGCUAUUUUCUGACCUUGUUCCUGUAAAGAAUGACAGCGGGGGAAAGAAAUGGCGGAGAAAUGGUUGUGGAUGUUAAUACCACGGAGGGGAUGCUGGAGCUCACGUGGGAAAGGUGCUGGACAAGGUAAAGCUGUCUUGCUGGGUGGUGGUGGUGUUGUUGUUGUUGAUGGUUGUGGUGGAGUAGUUGUUGAUGGUGGAGUUGUUGUUGGCGGAGUUGUUGUUGGUGGUGGAGUUGUUGUUGUUGGUGGUGUUGUUGUUGUUGUUGUUGGUGGAGUUGUUGUUGUUGGUGGUGGAGUUGUUGUUGGUGGUGGAGUUGUUGUUGUUGGUGUUGUUGUUGUUGGUGGAGUUGUUGUUGGUGGUGGAGUUGUUGUUGUUGAUGGUGGUGGUGGAGUUGUUGUUGUUGGUGGAGUUGUUGUUGGUGGUGGAGUUGUUGUUGGUGGUGGUGUUGUUGUUGUUGAUGGUGGUGGUGGAGUUGUUGUUGGUGGUGGAGUUGUUGUUGGUGGUGGUGUUGUUGUUGGUGGUUGUGGUGGAGUUGUUGUUGUUGGUGGUGGAGUUGUUGUUGGUGGUGGAGUUGUUGUUGGUGGUG
ensembl:lncRNA